UACAGAGGUCGCAAGCGUUGUUCGGAAUUACUGGGCGUAAAGGGCGCGUAGGCGGCCGAUCAAGUCAGAUGUGAAAGUCCUGGGCUUAACCUGGGGACUGCAUUUGAUACUGAUUGGCUUGAAUGCAGGAGAGGAUAGCUGAAUUCCCAGUGUAGAGGUGAAAUUCGUAGAUAUUGGGAAGAACACCGGUGGCGAAGGCGGCUAUCUGGACUGUGAUUGACGCUGAGGCGCGAAAGCGUGGGGAGCAAACAGG
rnacentral:rRNA from 1 species